AUUGAACGCUGGCGGCAGGCUUAACACAUGCAAGUCGAGCGGGGGAAGGUAGCUUGCUACCGGACCUAGCGGCGGACGGGUGAGUAAUGCUUAGGAAUCUGCCUAUUAGUGGGGGACAACAUCUCGAAAGGGAUGCUAAUACCGCAUACGUCCUACGGGAGAAAGCAGGGGAUCUUCGGACCUUGCGCUAAUAGAUGAGCCUAAGUCGGAUUAGCUAGUUGGUGGGGUAAAGGCCGACCAAGGCGACGAUCUGUAGCGGGUCUGAGAGGAUGAUCCGCCACACUGGUACUGAGACACGGCCCAGACUCCGACGGGAGGCAGCAGUGGGGAAUAUUGGACAAUGGGGUGAACCCUGAUCCAGCCAUGCCGCGUGUGUGAAGAAGGCCUUAUGGUUGUAAAGCACUUUAAGCGAGGAGGAGGCUACUCUAGUUAAUACCUAGGGAUAGUGGACGUUACUCGCAGAAUAAGCACCGGCUAACUCUGUGCCAGCCGCCGCAGUAA
rnacentral:rRNA from 1 species